rnacentral:tRNA from 1 species
GCCCGGCUAGCUCAAUCGGUAGAGCGUGAGACUCUUAAGGAGGGCUCCGGUAAAUCUCAAGGUUGUGGGUUCGACCCCCACGUCGGGCU